rnacentral:rRNA from 1 species
AACGAACGCCGGCGGCAUGCCUAACACAUGCAAGUCGAACGAGACCUUCGGGUCUAGUGGCGCACGGGUGCGUAACGCGUGGGAACCUGCCCUUAGGUUCGGAAUAACUCCCCGAAAGGGGUGCUAAUACCGGAUAAUGUCUUCGGACCAAAGAUUUAUCGCCUUUGGAUGGGCCCGCGUUGGAUUAGCUAGUUGGUAGGGUAAAAGCCUACCAAGGCGACGAUCCAUAGCUGGUCUGAGAGGAUGAUCGGCCACACUGGGACUGAGACACGGCCCAGACUCCUACGGGAGGCAGCAGUGGGGAAUAUUGGACAAUGGGCGAAAGCCUGAUCCAGCAAUGCCGCGUGAGUGAUGAAGGCCUUAGGGUUGUAAAGCUCUUUUACCCGGGAUGAUAAUGACAGUACCGGGAGAAUAAGCUCCGGCUAACUCCGUG